GACGAACGCUGGCGGCGUGCUUAACACAUGCAAGUCGAACGGAAAGUCCCUGCUUUUGUGGGGUGCUCGAGUGGCGAACGGGUAAGUAACACUUGAGUAACCUGCCCUUGACUUUGGGAUAACUUCAGGAAACUGGGGCUAAUACCGGAUAGGAUCUCCUGCUGCAUGGUGGGGGUUGGAAAGUUUCGGCGGUUGGGGAUGGACUCGCGGCGUAUCAGAUUGUUGGUGGGGUAGUGGCUUACCAAGGCUUGGACGGGUAGCCGGCCUGAGAGGGUCACCGGCCACAUUGGGACUGAGAUACGGCACAGACCACUACGGGAGGCAGCGGUGGGGAAUAUUGCACAAUGGGAGGAAGCAUGAUGCAGCAACGCAGCGUGCGGGAUGACGGCAUUCGGGUUGUAUACCGAUUUCGCCUGUGACGAAGCGUGAGUGACGGUAAUGGGUGAAGAAGCACCGGCUAACUACGUG
rnacentral:rRNA from 1 species